GUUAACUUUUAAGAUUAAAGUCUUACAUAACAUUAACUUUAACAGUCUCACCUGAGAUACUCAGUUUGCAAUAAUGCUAUGUGUUGUAUCUAAAAUAAAUUCACACACAUUACUGAAUUUCCCUUGGAAAAUUUUGACUUUAACCAUCUUCAUGUGAAGUUAGCAGGUUUUUCUUUCUAUCACAUACUGUGAUAUUUGACUAUAUUUAGACAAACAAACUUAAAGGGACGCUCCACUUUUUUGGAAAUAGGCUCAUUUUACAACUCCCCCAGAUCAAUGGGACCAAAAACUGUCUGGUUACUGACAUUCUUCUAAAGACCCGGAGAUCGGCUGAACGGAUUCGAAAAUGGUAAAACUGUUUAACUCUGGGGGAGUUGUAAAAUGAGCCUAUUUCCAAAAAAAAAGUGGAGUAUCCCUUUAAGCUGUAGAGAAGGAACCAACUACGGUAGUUAAUUAACUAUCUACAGGAUGCGCUUGGAAUGUUAACCUGCAGACACUCGGAACUCCAUGGCACUUGACCCUGAUAUAACUUUUGUAUUCUUAGAACAUUUCUAUGUUUACAUAAGUGCAUUGGGUUACAAUGAACAUGUCAAUAUGUAACACUGCUACAUAAAAAGGAUAAACAACUGUCCCUUGAGUAGCUAGAUAAACCCAAAUCCAGUGUCUGCUGUACGAACAGCUCCUUCAAGAGCUUCUUUAAAUUUGCUGUAGCCUGUAUGAUCUCCCGGAAUUUGCAAGGUCUCAUAGCAGGUCUUGGACUUUGGCAGCAGACCAGAGGUAACCUUAAUGUAGAGGUGUUGUGGAAAGAUCACCCAGCCAACCCAAAACUUGAGGAGGUCUUUCAAACUUUCUGAAUUGGCUAUGGAAAAAUGACAUGAAAACAACAUUUAAAAAUCCAUUAUGGUCUGUUUUCUGUAUGAAACUUCAUUGUUUUAAUCUCACAACCAAUACACAAUUUACAGACAAUAGAUAAAUAAAAGUACUGACAUUGACAGUUAUAAUAAUCCACCUAACUCAUUAUCUCCACAAAGGA
ensembl:lncRNA